ensembl:lncRNA
UGCACUUUCGAUGAAAUCUUCAUCAGCGCUUAAUGAUGAUGAUGCAUUGAGUAGAAUGCUCAGUCGGGCAUCAGUCCAAACGAACGUUAAAAACAAUAUUGUGACGAAACAUGCAACCAAUGCAUUCAGCUUAUCCAAACACUUUCAGAUCAGCAGUCACUAUGGGAAGAUUUAUAGCAUGGUAGCCAGGUCGGUUUCUGCUCGAGACCCAGACCUUGCCGCCAGGCUAACCGGUGAAGGGAGCCAUGGUAGAGUAUUGGAGCGUAGCCCCUGUUACGUAACGUAGUACCAUAGUGAAAUGUAGCUGUUUUCUGUGUUCUAUUUGACCUUUCACCCCUAUUGAUCUCUCACCUCUUUCGCUUGGUCUCUGUGUGUUUGACAUGUUCCCACUACAAUUAAUAGUCAGUUUAAAAAGGAUAACUAUUUGACUGUAUAAAUAUACAUACAUAAUAUAUAGGUAUAUGAAUAUAGAUUAAUUUAACCGAUAGAUAGAUAACCAAGAGAAAACAGAUAGUCAAACGUUACUAUAGAUAAGGUUGAUCAUGAAUCAAAUUGAUAAGUGAUCUGGCCUUUUAUCCCCAACUCACCAGUCACUCCUCUAUAGUCAUUAUACACACGGACAGCUCCAGUGUUUUUGUCAAUUAUUGGAAUCCAGUGGCUUCAUCUUAGUGUGUGUUGUAUGCAUUGUCUUGACAUCAUAUCCUUCAUAUCUUCAUCAUAACCUGAUAGAUUUAGUCUCAUACCUUUAGACUGCAUUUAUUGUAUAAUGAAUGCUUUGAGUGAAUGCAGUGGGGUUGGGCUCAAUAUGGCAGUCAAUUCAGGAAGUAAACUGAAAUUCCAAUUCGAUGAUUGAAAUAGGGGCCUGUAUUUUUAAUGACUUCUUAAUGAAUUGAAAAGGAGAAGCUAUUUAUGUUUUUUAAGUAGCUGAUUUUAAAUUCAAAUCUCUUCCUGAAUUGGCAAUUCGAAUUGAGCCCAACCCUUGAAUGCAGAAGAGUAUCUAUAUGACACAUAUCUAUCUAAAGGACAUUCUAGUAUCCAACAGUAUAUAAGUAUAACUGGCAUAGCAAUGCUGUAACUUCAAUCAGUCCACACCUCUUAAACCUCACUAACACAUACUACUCAGUGCUUAUGGAAAUAUCAAUGCUUUGAGACGGACAGAUAAACAGACAGAUAAACAGACAGGUAGACAGACAGAUAGACAGACAGAUAAACAGACAUAUAGACAGAUAAACAGACAGAUAAACAGACAGAUAAACAGAUAGAUAAACAGACAGACAGAUAGACAGACAGAUAAACAGACAGACAGAUAGAUAAACAGACAGAUAGACAGACAGAUAAACAGAUAGAUAAACAGACAGACAGAUAGACAGACAGAUAAACAGACAGAUAGACAGACAGAUAAACAGAUAAAAACAGACAGACAGAUAGACAGACAGAUAAACAGACAGAUAAACAGACAGACAGAUAGACAGACAGAUAAAGACAGAUAAACAGACAGACAGACAGACAGAUAAACAGACAGACAGAUAGACAAACAGAUAGAUAAACAGACAGACAGAUAGACAGACAGAUAAACAGACAGACAGACAGACAGAUAAACAGACAGAUAGACAGACAGAUAAACAGACAGAUAAACAGAUAGAUAAACAGACAGACAGAUAGACAGACAGAUAAACAGACAGACAGUCUGAGGAACUUGAGACCUGUCUCUUUCUACUCAGCCCAAGGAUGAUCAACUCUAGUCUGGUUACUUUUCCUUUACCUCAUAGAUCAAUUGGUAUCUUUGAUUCCCCAGAUAUUUAACUUGACUGGUUACCUGGGCGUUACUAAGUCUGACUACAAGACAAUACAAAAGGCUACUGAGACCAGUAGACAAUGUGGGUUUCCAGGGCCAUAGUUGUAUGUUCCUGACUGAGACUAUCCAAGCUUUCAGAUGAAGCAGUAAGCUACUCCCUGAUGUACUGUAUGUGUAUGAAGACACCACAACUGUCAAGCCUAUGUGUUUGAGGGAGAGGCUGCCCUUCCCCCAACCAUACCUCAGCUCUCAUAUGUACCUUCCUUCUUUCCCUACCUGUCAUGCUAACCCGUGUAAGGUCAUCAUUUUUAAUACCGUAGUAACGAUAGUGGUGGUAGAAUAACGUUAAAGUAAUAAUGUUUAUUACUAUGUUUAUCUUCUGAUUUGGUUGGUAGUUAUUCUGUAGGCUUGGUAAUGAUGAUGCAUAUGAUGUACUUCUCAAAGGCUUCUGGUUUAAAGGAACUGUUUGUUUGCUGUUUUUUUUGUUGUUUUGUCACUUGCGGGUGACAUGGCACUUCUUGAAGAGUUCAGGUUACUUGAGGAAUGAAGAAUAAAACAUAUUACCCAUAAAUUCAAAUUCAUUGGGAAUAUCGCUCUUUUGAUUGGUCAGAAAAAAUAUAAAAGGUUACCAUGCCAACAAGCCUCUGUGGUGUAGCACAGGGUUAGUGUCCCUAUGACAACAAUAGAUUGGAAACAUUGUAACUUUGCACUUGCAAUAUACAGGCUACUUUACCAAAUCUUCCACCAAAUGCAAUGGUAUGGCACCUGCUAGUAUGUCAACAACCUAACUAGCUAAUCCAAAUCGCUGCGUGUCUCAAGACAAUGUGUAGCUCCAAUAGAUAGCUGUUUACCAAACAGUGGAGCCACUGUGUGUCAUGGCCAGUCACACUACACCCCUGGUCUUCUAAAGGCUUUAGCUGGGUCACGGCAGCAAAACAAGCUAGACAACUACUUUCUUCGGCCAGUAAAUUGACAUGAGUCGUUUUAGAGCUAUCUAUAAUGUAUUUUAAUUGCAGCUUGUAGUAAAUUAGGCUGUAUGAGGGAGGAGCUAGUUAGUGUCAGCAAGGCCCACCUUUCAAUGUGCCAUGCCUAGAUGCAGGUGAAGGGUAAACCUAACUUCAGGAAACACACAUGGUCUGUGACGGUAACAAUCUCAGUAUGUUGACAAGGAUUUUCUAAUUAUUUUUUGUUGUUGAUUCGGGUAUAUUUUCCAUUGUGUGAGAUGAUCCAUGAUAAAUGCAUUGAUUUGUAUGAAAAGCUGUACAUUUAUUGGAUGUGGUAUUUAUUGACCCUGGAGUCCCUGAAAGGUGUAUAUAUAUAUAUACACCUCUGUUGUAUUUGUCCCCUCACGUCUAUAUCUCUCUAUCUAUCUAUCUGGGGUUUUGUUGGUGGCACCUUAACUGGGGAGGACAGGCUUGUGGUAAUGGCUGGAGCGGAAUAAGUAGAAUGGUAUCAGAUACAUUAAACACCUGGUUGCCAUGUGUUUGAUGCCAUUCAUUUGCCAUUAUUAAGAGCCAUCCUCCCCUCAGCAGCCUCCACUGGUGUGUGUGUGUGUUCGUGCUUGCGUGCGAACGAACAAGCAUGUGUGUGUAGCAGUGGGUUCUGUAUCUCUCUGGUGUGAUGUAGCCUGCCCCGUACCUCACUGUUCCAUAGUGUACUGUGUCCCUGUAGCGUCAGUCAGUGUCUGACUCCCGCAUGUGCUUGUUUGUAAAUACCCAAUAAAUAAUCAACGUAAACCAAAC